rnacentral:rRNA from 1 species
AUUGAACGCUGGCGGCAGGCUUAACACAUGCAAGUCGAGCGGAAACGAUGAUAGCUUGCUAUCAGGCGUCGAGCGGCGGACGGGUGAGUAAUACUUAGGAAUCUACCUAGUAGUGGGGGAUAGCUCGGGGAAACUCGAAUUAAUACCGCAUACGACCUACGGGAGAAAGGGGGCAACUUGUUGCUCUCGCUAUUAGAUGAGCCUAAGUCGGAUUAGCUAGAUGGUGGGGUAAAGGCCUACCAUGGCGACGAUCUGUAGCUGGUCUGAGAGGAUGAUCAGCCACACCGGGACUGAGACACGGCCCGGG